GAAAUCCUUUUUAUAACAAAGUUUUUCGUGAAUUUGUUAAUUUCGUUAUAUCCAGGUUUAACUGUACUUCAGUGCCCAACACACGGCUGCAGACCUUUGUUUCUGGUAAAUCGAUCAUGCUAAAAUUAAGCUUUUGUAUGCUUUUUUGGAGAUGCUGCAUUUUUUUAGAACUGUAUUUAUUCAAGAUUUCUAAAAGCGCAUCAAUUUCUUUGAGAGCUGAUGUUAAUGAGACAUUGGCCCUGAAAUGUGCUCAUUACCAGGACCAGUGCCUGCUGUAACUGGAUGCCUAGAACUUCGCUUACUUUACAAUAGGAGCCAUCCUGCUGCACAUUGCAAGGAGGCACCGCGCGGUAGUGCUCGCCCACCGCCCUGUCUGAUGUCACGCGACUACCAGCGGCACAGAGAUAUGCAUGGUCUCCGAUAUUGCGGGCACUGGCAGGCCGUGCAUUAGGGCGGCUGUUUACAUGCGGCUGGCGCCAGAAGCGCUGGCCACCGGCACCACAUGGCACAAAAUAUGGAGAGAAUAGAUUACCGUGCAUUAAGUGACGUGAUUCACCCUUGCCAGUCGACGAUGUACAGCGCAGGUCGUCGCUCAUCCACCAUACAACUAACUGGCCAAUGGAUGACCGCAGACACCUGGCUUGAUGGGCUCGUCUGCCAGAGCACCAUCACCGUGAACACGGGAACAAUUUCUGACAUCAAAUAAUGACUACUAUUAGAAUAAAGUGCUAACUCAAUUGUC